CUUCAAUAAACAAACUGUGAUACAUAAACUUUCAGGUUUUAAGUACAGUCUAUAAUAUUCUCAUCAGCCUGGGAAAAUGAGUCCUAACAAAGAUCUAUGCAGAGUAACCACCUGGGUUCUACACACAGACCCAAGAUAGCAUUUUUAGAUGAAGGUUUAGGAGGGUUUUUUUUUUUUUUUUUGGUAAAAAUGUAAGAUAAAAAUUCUUUCUUCCAUAGAACUACUCACUUUGCCAGUUUCCAUUAUAUUCUAGAACAUAUAUAAAAUUUCAAAUUAAUGCUAGUAAAAUAUCUCUGAUGGAAAUGUUUGCAUCUAAAUAUAAAAAGCAAAUGUCCAUGUUGUUUUUAAGUACUAAUUGUGUGGAAUAUAAUGCAGGAGCUGUUAUCUCCUGAAGAAGGAUGGUGGUCAAAGAUCUAUUCCAGAAUGCUGAUAGAGGGGCUGGCAGAUCCCAGAGCCAGCCCAGCUGCCAAGAGGAGACCUCAGAUGGCUCAGGUGCUCCAGGCUUGAGACCUCAACUCAGACCACAAUGUUCGACCCUUCCCAAUGCUGAUUAGGGUUGUCCAACUGCUCUAACCUCGCUUCAGCUCUUGGUGGUUUGGGUUCAUCAUCACUGGCUCCCCUCUGCUUCCAUCUAGACUGCUGCCUCCUCGCCACCUCCUUGCCAGUAGUUCUCAGCAUGUCCUAUGGAGAACUGCAUAGUAUAUCACUGCUGCUGCUGCUGCUAAGUCGCUUCAGUUGUGUCCGACUCUGUGCGACCCCAUAGACGGCAGCCCACCAGGCUCCCCCAUCCCUGGGAUUCUCUAGGCAAGAGAGAUUAAUUCCCCGCUUCCUCUGGUCCUUCCUUCUGUCAUUCCUCAGAAACAUACCAGGUUCUUAACAGAGGCUGCCAACCUGAAAAGUAUCCACCAGAUGGCACCAAAACAUUGUAUUCCAAGAGUUCAGGCCUCGCUACACCUUCAAGAAAACCCAGAAGUUCCACUACUGUGAGAUGAGAAAGUACAGCCCCAGGUGCCAGUUCAACAGAGAUUAAUAUUCACACUCCAACUUCCCGGAGUAUUUAAUUUUGGGUUUUAGAGAGAGAGAGAGACAGAGAGAAUCUUUCUCACAUUCUUUAUUUUUAUUUUUCCCUCUUUAGACUCUGGAGUAA
rnacentral:lncRNA from 1 species